GAGCCCCGCGGGCCGAGUCGGCUGCGCGCCGGUGGCUCGGCGGGUAGGCCGCUGCACCGCGACUGCACCGCGGCUGCACCGCGACUGCACCGGGCGCCCCGAGCAGCAGCAGCAGCACAGAGCGUCCAUCACAUACGUCGGCGCCGAACCGCUUUUCAGAAGGACUCGACGCACGCGUCCCCGGCGCCCUCGUCCACGAAGAUGACGGGGUUCCUCUCCACGAUGGCGAUGUCCCGCUCCAGCUGGCGCAGCUCCUGCUCCAGGGACUCCUUGCGCUUCAUCUUGGGGAUGGUGUCGGUCAGCAUCGGCAGCCCCUGGAAGAUGGUCUGCAGCUCCUGCCAGUUCUGCUUCAGUCCCUGCGAGAGGAGUACGAGGAGACCGUUAUAGCGAGGCGGGACGGGGUUGUCACUGAGCAUGUUCAAGAACACGUGUGUCGCCGGACCGAGAUCGAGUACCAAGGCGAGACCCCGCGGAGCCCGAACCAGCAGCCCCUGGUGAAGGAGAACGGCUAGCGCCGAGGCGGCUACCCUGCGAAGAAUUUUAUAGUCUCAUAAAACGCAGAGAAAUAUCAAUAAAAAGC